rnacentral:rRNA from 1 species
UACGUAGGGUGCGAGCGUUGUCCGGAAUUACUGGGCGUAAAGGGCGCGUAGGCGGUCUGCUAAGUUGGAUGUGAAAACUCUGGGCUUAACCCAGAGCCUGCAUUCAAUACUGACAGGCUAGAGUUCUGGAGGGGAUAGCGGAAUUCCUGGUGUAGCGGUGAAAUGCGUAGAUAUCAGGAGGAACACCGGUGGCGAAGGCGGCUAUCUGGACAGAGUCUGACGCUGAGGCGCGAAAGCUAGGGGGAGCAAACAGG